CUUGCGAUAGUUCAGUUGGCAGAGCGGGGGACUAUAGUUCCUUAGGUCGUUGGCUCGAACCCAGCUCGCAAGA